UGGCUAUCUCAACUCAAAACUAAUGUUAAGGUUUAGCUGAUUGAAAAGAACAUGGCAGCAAGGCAAGAAGAGCCAGGACAAAGAAGACAGGCAUCUCCUGCUUGGGCAAGAGAUGCUUCUACAAAAUAUCUUCUGGAGUUUGAGCGGUACUUUUCGGGCGGCGCCGGGUCGUUCGGCGCGCUGCACGAGCAGGCGCUGCUGCGACAGCUGGCCGGCUGCGGCCUGCGCUCGCUGGCCUGGCGCCUCUUCCUGCAGGUGCUGCCGGUCGACCCCGCCAGCUGGGAGCUGCUCACCAAGGAGCACCGACGCCUCUACAGCCUGGCCAAGACCACCUACAGUGAUUACACGGAUGUGAAUGACACGCGGAUCAGGUGUGAGAGUCCGUGGCACCGUCUGUUCGAGCACGCCGACCUGCGCCGGGUGAUUGAACAGGACGUGGUGCGCACCAUGCCCGACGUGGCCCUCUUCCGGGACGAGCACGUGUGCCGCUGCAUGACUGACGUUCUGUUCGUGUUCAUGCAGAAGCACCCGGAGGUUGACUAUGUGCAGGGAAUGCACGAGCUGCUGGCUCCCAUCAUCUACCUGCUGCGGAGAGAGUACAGCAACUUUGCCGAUGUGCGAGCCGCUCAUCGUGCCAACCACCCCACAUUCGACCUUCUAGAAGUUCUACUGGACAAGGACUACGUAGAGCAUGAUGCCUUUUACAUGCUGGAGAAGCUGCUGAAGAUGAUGGACUGGAGUAGUUCGGUGAACCGUCGCCGCGAGUACGAGGAGAUGCAGCGGGCGCCGCCGCCCGCGCCCGAUCUCCUCCACCCGCCGCUCUUCGCCAAGGACCGGGCCAGUCCUAGUGUGAACCAGUGGGGGCCGUCGCCGUGUAACCGCGCCGUGCGCCGUCACCUCUGUAUGAUCGACUACGACCUCUACCUGAAACUGGCCGAGCUGGGCGUGGAACCGCAGGUGUUUGGGCUUAAGAUGUUCCGACUGCUGUUUGGCCGCGAGUUUCGUCUCUCGGAGCUCUGCUCGGUGUGGGACGCCCUGUUGGCGGACAGCCACGCCACCAGCACGCUCGACCUGGUGCCUUACGUCUUCUGUGCCAUCCUUAUCUACAAUCGGCGACAGAUUCUGGAGCGGGAAGGAAUGGAGGCGCUGACGCUGCUGCUCAACCUGCCGCCCCUACCGGACAUUGCUGGCUGCAUCGCCUUCGCACUCCACAUCCGGAACCCUCUGGAUUAUCCCAAGCCGAACAACUUUCCGCCCCCGCCGCCGGUGUCGCCCCGUAAGCCGGCCGCCUCCAAGAUCCGGCUGCGUCGGCGGUCGGUGGAGCGGUCCAAAUCCGCCGUCGGACAGCCGAAGUCUGAGAGCGGUAGCGGCUCGGUCAGCCCGGCUCGGCCCCGCAGUAUGACCCAGCCGCCGCCAAUGUCGGCGCCGGGCCGGACCGGCCUGGUCGGCCUGGCACGCAGUGGAUCAGAGACCGUAGUGUCGCGGUCGGGGUCAGCCACCGUAGCGGCGGCGUCGGCGGAUCUCGUGACGUAUGGCCCGCCGCCCGUGGCCAUGAAGGAUGUGUCUGCACUGCGGGGAAAGCACGCCCUGCUAGCCUCGUCCGAGGCGUCUGCCUACGCAGUCAUGGAGAGCAAACAGACGUCCACACCACCCGAGUGGAAUCCGCCAAAAGCCAACUCGCACACAGCCAGAGGGGAUCCUGGUUAGUGUCUGCCAUCUCCACAUUGCGAGCCAGGCUGCAAACAACAAGAAUCGAGGCUGGGUCUGACGGGGAUGCCGUGCAAGGUGCGGCGGGCGGUGCUGCGCCAGACCCUCUGUGUCGAGACCAUGGACCGGCUGCUGCAGAACAAGGAAGUUGACCUAAGGACGCUCAGAGAGCUAGUCAACGUUCAAAAACAGCUGCUGCGUGACCUGUGGCCGUUUGGCGGCGGCUGGAGCCCGCAGCCGCAGUGUCCGCGUCAGCCGCCGGACGGGACCAGUGACGAGGAGUCUGCGCCGCCGUCCCUCUCCACCCCGGUCCCGGAGGACCUCUACCCGCCCUCCGCCGCUGAUAUUGUGGAGGAGGUCACCCCGGAGGACGGCUCGGCACCCGUCUCCAACGGCCUGCCCGCAGUGGGAGUGUCGCCCGCGUACGACACUUUGGCUGUGGAUGUGGCCAACCUGAGUAUGUCGGAGGCCGCCGAGCAGCGGUGAGCGGCGGGCUGUGGACGGACAGAUCCUGUGAUAGACACAGAGUGAUGUGUACGGCUGUUUCCCGGACUAGAAUGGCAACCGAUGAACGUAGCGAAGCUUACAUAUUCUUGGACACAUCCGUAAUAAUUAUUCGUGCCGGUGUGGUGACAAGUGGUGUCGCCAGGACGACGUCUCCCGGCCGGCGCGAUAUGACCAAGUGACUGGUGUCUCACAGAACUUUGUGCCAGUCGGUGCGAUUGUGUUCUUCGGGCCAGUACUGCAAUUGCUCAGCCGUGGUGUGGCUGCUACUGGGGCCGAUAUCGCGGUAAUGCGUGGGUUUGUGAUAGUGUAUGGAGGCUGUGGACGCUACGUAUGCGCUGCAUUGUUAGCCAUGCCAGACGGCUGAGCGGUGAACGCUUUCCUUCCGUUCUGCUUCCUCAGAUCUGAACAGUGCUGCAGAAUAGCGAGUGACAUGUGCGGUCCACUCCGACUUGUGUGUGUGUCUGCUGUGACGUGUGCCAUAGUGUACGUCGGGGUGGCUGUUUUACGUUUGUACCUCCCGUGUAUCUCAUUUGGAUCCCGUCUCAGGUAUCCGGGGCUCCAGAAGUGCUUAUAGUUCUUUUAUCAGCCGGAUCAUUCCAUUGUUGUAUGCUGCAUGCCAGAUCUUCAAGUACAAGUAUAUUUAGUUAUGCAUAGGCCACUGUACCGGGCUGCGCCUUUCUUGGUUCAACGAUCAUAUCAACGAAUUAUAGCCAGUUCCUCGUGUAAUAGCUUGAUUUUUAUUGAAUCGUAUUGGGGCAUUCCGAACUAUACCUACUAAUGUGAUUAAUUCCUUUUACGGGACUUUAAACGAAUCUUACGAUGCUUAUUUAUCACAAUGCAUUACUGUGGUUUUACGUACACGUCAAAUAAUAAAGCAAAUGGUGAACAAUGCAA
rnacentral:misc_RNA from 1 species